rnacentral:lncRNA from 1 species
AUCUGAUUUGAGUUUCAAGAAUUUCACCUGGAGGCUUCCCUCAAAGUUUGUCCUCCUCCUCUCAGCACAUCCUCUGAACCACUUACCUGGAGCCAAACGACACUGAGUUACGUGGAAGCUGUUUCUCCUGUUUCUGUCUGAUCGUCCCACAGAGAUCAUAAACUCUCCGAGGGCCAGAAACAUGUGCUGCGUGUAUUCCCCACAGUGACUUGCACAAAGUCUUGAAAACAGAGGCGAGAGGUUGCCCAAUGCGUGGUUACUCAGUUGUAGGCAAGAGGCUCAUGGGGAAUUGAGACAGUUGUCCAGGAAUCUGAGGCCUCAUGGAAAUCCUUGGAGUACACUUGGCGAGUAUGGACUGUUAGAAACGAAAUGCAAAUGAAAAGCAUCGUUCCACUGGCUUCUUGAGGUUCUUAAGCAGAAGAAUGUUCUGAUCACUGAAACCAUUUCAGGGCCCGAAAUUAGAAAGUAAUAAAGAAUAUCACACUCUCCCUAGUGGGCA